CACAUACCCAAGCUAAGGUUUGUACACAGAGCCAACUCAAGCCAAGCUGAUCUCUCAAGCUAGUAAGAAACAGCGGUGGGAGACUGAGGUGUACCCGGCAAAGUCAGCAGCCAGGCCUGGGCUUCCUGAAAGGAAAGAAAAGGCACCUGCAGAGUUUCCAGAGAACCAGAGGACCAGUUCCCUGAAAGACACACUUUGAUGACUUAGGAGAGCUGAUCCUAUCAAAAAACGAUCUCUCGAGGCAACCUGUUUAUUGUAGAAUAUCUAGGAAGAAUACACAAGCCAAGAGCAGAAGAUAAAUACUGUCCAUCACCCUGUGACCCAGGCGGACCUCCGUCCCUGUGUCAGUGAUGCCCCCACAGAAGACCCUGCUGCAGCUCAACCUCACUGCCUCCAAGUCUCAUUCCAUAUCCCCAAGAGCCACAGCAGCACAUUCAAUCUAGGUCUGAUCACCAGGGUCAGAUGACCCCCAAGGAGGCUCCAGAAACCCCCCUCAGAUGAAGAAACUGAGGCUGGUGUUCUAGGACAUGGCAGAAGACACACACCUGGUUCCAGAGGAGGCGUUUGUAGCCUUUGUACAAAACAGCACAUAAAUUCAAAGGUUGGCUGGGAGGUCCUGUUUGGCUGAUGGUGCUGAGCUCAUUUGCAUGUCUGUGGUCAGCUGGCAGAGAAAUGGCAGCCCCAACUCUCCACUUGGUUCUCACUGAAGAGAGAAAUGUGCCAGUUGAUUGGGAAACUGAAGUUCAGAGAGGAGAAAUCACCUUGACUCACCAAGGACACACUGGGAGAAAGUGCUGGAGAGACACAUUUUUAACCCUGUGUUAGCUUCAUUCUGAAGACUCUGCUUCAUUGGUGGAA